GAGUUUGCUCUUGGCUCAGAACGAACGCUGGCAGCGUGCCUAACACAUGCAAGUCGAACGAGAAUGUUCCUUCGGGAACUAGUACAGUGGCAAACGGGUGAGUAAUACAUGGGUAAUCUGCCUUUGACCCUGGAAUAACUCUCUGAAAAGAGAGCUAAUACCGGAUAAGACCACUGAUCAUAAGAUCAGCGGUAAAAGAGGGCCUCUCCUUGGAAGCUCUCAGUCAAAGAUGAGCCCGUGCAGCAUUAGCUAGUUGGUAGGGUAAAGGCCUACCAAGGCAACGAUGUUUAGCCGGCCUGAGAGGGUGAACGGCCACACUGGGACUGAGAUACGGCCCAGACUCCUACGGGAGGCAGCAGUGGGGAAUAUUGCGCAAUGGGGGAAACCCUGACGCAGCGACGCCGCGUGGAUGAUGAAGCUUUUCGGAGUGUAAAGUCCUGUCAGAUAGGAAGAAAAUGUCCAAUGCUAAUACCAUUGGGCCAUGACGGUACUAUCAAAGGAAGCCCCGGCUAACCCUGUGCCAGCAGCCGCGGUAAUACAGGGGGGGCAAGCGUUGUUCGGAAUUACUGGGCGUAAAGCGUGCGUAGGCGGCUUGGUAAGUUAGACGUGAAAUCCUAUGGCUCAACCAUAGAACUGCGUCUAAAACUGCCAGGCUAGAGUACUGGAGAGGGAAACGGAAUUCCUAAUGUAGCGGUGAAAUGCGUAGAUAUUAGGAGGAACACCAGUGGCGAAGGCGGUUUCCUGGACAGAUACUGACGUUGAGGUACGAAAGCCAGGGUAGCGAACGGGAUUAGAUACCCCGGUAGUCCUGGCCGUAAACGAUGUUCACUAGGUGUAUGAGGUAUCGACCCCUUAUGUGCCGAAGCUAACGCAUUAAGUGAACCGCCUGGGGAGUACGUUCGCAAGAAUGAAACUCAAAGGAAUUGACGGGGGCCCGCACAAGCGGUGGAGCAUGUGGUUUAAUUCGAUGCAACGCGAAGAACCUUACCGGGGUUUGAAAUAUUUCCGCCCUCCCUGGAAACAGGGCUUUAUCCCUUCGGGGAUACGGAAUUACAGGUGCUGCAUGGCUGUCGUCAGCUCGUGUCGUGAGAUGUUGGGUUAAGUCCCGCAACGAGCGCAACCCUCAUCCUUAGUUGCCAUCAGGUAAUGCUUGGGCACUCUAAGGAAACUGUCGGUAAUAAGCCGGAGGAAGGUGGGGAUGACGUCAAGUCCUCAUGGCCCUUAUAUCCCGGGCUACACACGUGCUACAAUGGCAAGUACAAAGGGUAGCAAUGCCGCAAGGUGGAGCCAAUCCAUAAAAGCUUGUCCUAGUUCGGAUUGCAGUCUGAAACUCGACUGCAUGAAGUCGGAAUCGCUAGUAAUCGUGGAUCAGCAUGCCACGGUGAAUACGUUCCCGGGCCUUGUACACACCGCCCGUCACACCACGAAAGUCGGCUGUACCAGAAGUCGUUGUGCCAACCUUUUAGGAGGCAGGCGCCCAAGGUAUGAUCGAUGAUUGGGGUGAAGUCGUAACAAGGUAACC
rnacentral:rRNA from 1 species